rnacentral:rRNA from 1 species
GCGCAGCCUGAUGCAGCCAUGCCGCGUAGGGAGAAGAAGGCCUUCGGGUUGUAAAGCCCUUUUGAGGGAAAGAAAUCCCGCGGGCUAAUACCCGGUUGGGAUGACGGUACCCGCAGAAUAAGCACCGGCUAACUUCGUGCCAGCAGCCGCGGUAAUACGAAGGGUGCAAGCGUUACUCGGAAUUACUGGGCGUAAAGCGUGCGUAGGCGGUUAUUUAAGUCCGAUGUGAAAUCCCUGGGCUCAACCUGGGAACUGCAGUGGAUACUGGAUGACUAGAAUGUGGUAGAGGGUAGCGGAAUCCCUGGUGUAGCAGUGAAUGCGUAGAGAUCAGGAGGAACAUCCAUGGCGAAGGCAGCUACCUGGACCAACAUUGACACUGAGGCACGAUAGCGUGGGGAGCACACGGGAUUAGAUACCCUGGUUUUCCACGCCCUUGCGAUGCGAACUGUAUGUUGGGUGCAAAUUGGCACCCCGCUCGAAGCUAUCACUUUGAUCUCACCCCCGGGAAAAUUUGGUCAUUUUACACC